rnacentral:rRNA from 1 species
GACGAACGCUGGCGGCGUGCUUAACACAUGCAAGUCGAACGGAAAGGCCCUGCUUUUGUGGGGUGCUCGAGUGGCGAACGGGUGAGUAACACGUGAGUAACCUGCCCUUGACUUUGGGAUAACUUCAGGAAACUGGGGCUAAUACCGGAUAGGAGCUCCUGCUGCAUGGUGGGGGUUGGAAAGUUUCGGCGGUUGGGGAUGGACUCGCGGCUUAUCAGCUUGUUGGGGGGGUAGUGGCUUACCAAGGCUUUGACGGGUAGCCGGCCUGAGAGGGUGACCGGCCACAUUGGGACUGCGAUACGGCCCAGACGCCUACGGGAGGCAGCAGGGGGGAAUAUUGCACAAUGGGCGGAAGCCUGAUGCAGCAACGCCGCGUGUGGGAUGACGGCCUUCGGGUUGUAAACCGCUUUCGCCUGUGACGAAGCGUGAGUGACGGUAAUGGGUAAAGAAGCACCGGCUAACUACGUG